rnacentral:misc_RNA from 1 species
GAAAUGCGAUAAGUAGCGCGAAUUGCAGAAUUCCGCGAGUCGUCGAAUCUUUGAACGCACCUUGCGCUCGCCGGCACCCCGGGGAGCAUGCCUGCUUGAGAGCCGAAGAAACCCAUCAUCACGCGAACCGAGGUCACUCGGGCGCGUGGAGAGUGGGCACGUCCGCGAGGCGGGUCGCACCGACCCGUUCGCAGGAGGCCUGAAGACCACGGCACGCUGGGAAGAGAUCUCACGUAUCUCGGCCACCGUCGAGACGGACGAUGGGGAAGGGCGCGCGUCGGGGCACCGGCGCGCGAGCACGCGCCGUCACAGCUCGGCCGGUGGCUCGCGAG